UUUACUUGAAAUUAUGUGUGUAAUACAAUUUGAUUUGUCUAUCUUUUUAGAAUGCACGUUUCAAACGGAUCACUGGGGUAGUGUGGAGUGGGCCCAUGAUAUAGAAAUGCACGACACAACAGCAAGACUAGCCGCAGCGAAUAUGUUUGUUUAUUUCAACUCUAUUUCCUCCACAGUACGAGAGAAGAACAUCCAGGGAUAAUGACGGACAGACACUUUAGUUCUACGG